rnacentral:rRNA from 1 species
AGACCCGAAACCCGGUGAUCUAGCCAUGGGCAGGUUGAAGGUUGGGUAACACUAACUGGAGGACCGAACCGACUAAUGUUGAAAAAUUAGCGGAUGACCUGUGGCUGGGGGUGAAAGGCCAAUCAAACCGGGAGAUAGCUGGUUCUCCCCGAAAGCUAUUUAGGUAGCGCCUCGUGAAUUCAUCUCCGGGGGUAGAGCACUGUUUCGGCUAGGGGGCCAUCCCGGCUUACCAACCCGAUGCAAACUGCGAAUACCGGAGAAUGUUAUCACGGGAGACACACGGCGGGUGCUAACGUCCGUCGUGAAGAGGGAAACAACCCAGACCGCCAGCUAAGGUCCCAAAGUCAUGGUUAAGUGGGAAACGAUGUGGGAAGGCCCAGACAGCCAGGAUGUUGGCUUAGAAGCAGCCAUCAUUUAAAGAAAGCGUAAUAGCUCACUGGUCGAGUCGGCCUGCGCGGAAGAUGUAACGGGGCUAAACCAUGCACCGAAGCUGCGGCAGCGACGCUUAUGCGUUGUUGGGUAGGGGAGCGUUCUGUAAGCCUGUGAAGGUGGCCUGUGAAGGUUGCUGGAGGUAUCAGAAGUGCGAAUGCUGACAUAAGUAACGAUAAAGCGGGUGAAAAGCCCGCUCGCCGGAAGACCAAGGGUUCCUGUCCAACGUUAAUCGGGGCAGGGUGAGUCGACCCCUAAGGCGAGGCCGAAAGGCGUAGUCGAUGGGAAACGGGUUAAUAUUCCCGUACUUGGUGUUACUGCGAAGGGGGGACGGAGAAGGCUAUGUUGGCCGGGCGACGGUUGUCCCGGUUUAAG